rnacentral:rRNA from 1 species
GUAAUACGUAGGGUGCGAGCGUUAAUCGGAAUUACUGGGCGUAAAGGGUGCGUAGGCGGCCCGGCAAGUCAGUGGUGAAAGCCCGCAGCUCAACUGCGGAAUUGCCAUUGAAACUGCCAGGCUUGAAUCUGGUUGAAGUGGGCGGAAUAUAUCAUGUAGCGGUGAAAUGCUUAGAUAUGAUGUAGAACACCGAUUGCGAAGGCAGCUCACUAAGCCAACAUUGACGCUGAGGCACGAAAGCGUGGGGAGCGAAC